rnacentral:rRNA from 1 species
ACUCCUACGGGAGGCAGCAGUGGGAAUUUUGGACAAUGGGCGAAAGCCUGAUCCAGCCAUGCCGCGUGCAGGAUGAAGGCCUUCGGGUUGUAAACUGCUUUUGUACGGAGCGAAAAGACUCUGGUUAAUACCUGGGGUCCAUGACGGUACCGUAAGAAUAAGCACCGGCUAACUGACGUGCCAGCAGCCGCGGUAAUACGUAGGGUGCAAGCGUUAAUCGGAAUUACUGGGCGUAAAGCGUGCGCAGGCGGUUAUAUAAGACAGAUGUGAAAUCCCCGGGCUCAACCUGGGAACUGCAUUUGUGACUGUAUAGCUAGAGUACGGCAGAGGGGAUGGAAUUCCGCGUGUAGCAGUGAAAUGCGUAGAUAUGCGGAGGAACACCGAUGGCGAAGGCAAUCCCUGGCCUGUACUGACGCUCAUGCACGAAAGCGUGGGGAGCAAACAGGAUUAGAU